AUGAGGCCGACUGGCAAGCUUACAGACGGGAGCACAAGACUUAAGGGAAAACCAGAACUGCCGCCAGCAGCAGAGGAAGCCCUGCACCCAGGCAAUCACAGCGCCCCCGCUUGCCGCUCUGCUGACUCACAUGAAGCAUCUGGCACCUCCUACAAGAGCAGCCACGGCCCACGUCACUGUGGAAGUGGGCUGGCCACACUCCGGGGCCACUCCGCCCCAGAGAGCUGCCCUGGGGACGGGCUGCAGCCUCUGAGGACACCUGAGCCCAGCCCCCGAGGAGCUGGGAAGACCUGGAGGGAGCCAGGAGUGCAUGACGGGAUGGCUGCACCCCGCCCUUGUGGUUUUUCAACAGGGCAGCAGGGGUGGGGUGCAGCAGGGCCACCUCUCCGGCCUGCAAUUCCUGUUUGCCUGGCAAUCCUGAAAAUUAACUGAUGCACCUAUUUUGCAAGCUGAUCCCACUGGUGGUCAGAAAGCCUUUGGGAUAGCUGUAAUUAAGGGAGAUAAGUGACUCCUGGUAAAGCUGCUCAUUGUAUGACAAGUAGGGUGUAAGUGUUACUUGCAUCCUCGGAGGAAACAGGUUGUACUUUUCAGCGAGGUAGAGGGAGCGACUCAGGAUUUCUGACAGCGUCGGCAGUGGCGCCACGGGUGCUGGUACUAUGAUCAUGAUCCUGCAUGUCACAGUGCCAUCUGGCAUGAUCUGAAAGGAUUUCUAGGACUUCCAUCCUCCUCAACCAGCUGGGGUUUCUUCGUGUUUAUCUUCCGGCUGCAACUCUGAGCUGUGUGAUCAGCCUGGGAAGGCUUUCAGCUCACGGGCAUUGAGCUGGGCAUGGCGGGGCGUGCCAGGAGACACAGGCAAUGGGCCUGCUUGAGCCCGGGAGUUUAAGACCAGCCUAGGCAAUAUCACAAGACCCCAUGUCCAGCAUUUUCCGUAACAUUCAAAAGGUGGAAACAACUCCAAGUGUUCAGCAACAGCCGAGCGGAUAAACAAAAUGUGGUCUGUUUUUCCUGCUAUAAGAAAAU
rnacentral:lncRNA from 1 species